rnacentral:rRNA from 1 species
CAUUCCGCGUGAGUGAAGAACCCCCCUACAAAAAAAAAAAGCACUUUCAGUUGGGAGGAAGGGGUUGUAAAUUAAAAGUACACAGCCUUGACGUUACCAACAGAAGAAGCACCGGCUAACUCUGUGCCAGCAGCCGCGGUAAUACAGAGGGUGCAAGCGUUAAUCGGAAUUACUGGGCGUAAAGCGCACGUAGGCGGUUUUUUAAGUCAGAUGUGAAAGCCCCGGGCUCAACCUGGGAAUUGCAUUUGAAACUGGAAAACUAGAGUGUGUGAGAGGGGGGUAGAAUUCCAAGUGUAGCGGUGAAUCUCUCUGUGUUGAUUUGGAGGAANUACCAGUGGCGAAGGCGGCCCCCUGGCACAACACUGACGCUCAGGUGCGAAAGCGUGGGGAGCAAACAGGAUUAGAUACCCUGGUAGUCCACGCUGUANAACGAUGUCNUACUAGCUGUUCGUGACCUUGUGUCNGUGAGUAGCGCAGCUAACGCACUAAGUAGACCGCCUGGGGANGUACGGNUCGNCAAGNAUUAAAACUCAAAUGAAUUGACGGGGGCCCGCACAAGCGGUGGAGCAUGUGGUUUAAUUCGACGCAACGCGAAGAACCUUACCUACUCUUGACAUCCAGAGAAGACUGCAGAGAUGCGGUUGUGCCUUCGGGAACUCUGAGACAGGUGCUGCAUGGCUGUCGUCAGCUCGUGUUGUGAAAUGUUGGGUUAAGUCCCGCAACGAGCGCAACCCUUAUCCUUAGUUGCCAGCACGUAAUGGUGGGAACUCUAGGGAGACUGCCGGUGAUAAACCGGAGGAAGGUGGGGACGACGUCAAGUCAUCAUGGCCCUUACGAGUAGGGCUACACACGUGCUACAAUGGUAUGUACAGAGGGAGGCAAGCUGGCGACAGUGAGCGGAUCUCUUAAAGCAUAUCGUAGUCCGGAUCGCAGUCUGCAACUCGACUGCGUGAAGUCGGAAUCGCUAGUAAUCGCAAAUCAGAAUGUUGCGGUGAAUACGUUCCCGGGCCCUUGUACACACCGCCCGUCACCACCAUGGGAGUGGGUUGCAAAGAAGUAGUAGCUUAACCCUUCGGGAGGGCGCUUACCACUUUGUGAUUCAUGACUGGGGUG